AACGAACGCUGGCGGCAGGCUUAACACAUGCAAGUCGAACGCAUCCUUCGGGGUGAGUGGCAGACAGGUGAGUAACGCGUGGGAACGUGCCCUUCAGUUCGGGAUAACCCAGGGAAACUUGGGCUAAUACCGGAUACGUGCGAGAGCAGAAAGAUUUAUCGCUGAAGGAUCGGCCCGCGUCUGAUUAGCUAGUUGGUGGGGUAAUGGCCCACCAAGGCGACGAUCAGUAGCUGGUCUGAGAGGAUGAUCAGCCACAUUGGGACCGAGACACGGCCCAAACUCCUACGGGAGGCAGCAGUGGGGAAUAUUGGACAAUGGGCGCAGGCCUGAUCCAGCCAUGCCGCGUGAGUGAUGAAGGCCUUAGGGUUGUAAAGCUCUUUCGUCCGGGACGAUAAUGACGGUACCGGAAGAAGAAGCCCCGGCUAACCUCGUGCCAGCCGCCGCCGUAACAC
rnacentral:rRNA from 1 species